CCCUCGCUGCCUGCCAUUGUUCCUCAAGCCAGCAAGCAAGAAGCACACAGGAAGCUCCUAGCCAACACCAAUCAAGGCCUCCAUCCAAUCCCAAGCAACCUCGAAUAUGUCUUGCUGCGGAGGAAACUGCGGAUGCGGCACCGCCUGCAAGUGCGGCAACGGCUGCGGUGGCUGCAACAUGUACCCCGAGGUUGAGGCCGCCGGCGCCACCCUCCUCGUCUCCGCCACUGCCACUCACAAGGGGUACGUCCCUUCUCUUGACAAAAUUUUCUCCACAGCUCAUACAUCAUCAUGCACUCGAUCUUUUUUUUUUGCGGGGUACGUGCAGGAGCUCCGGCGGCAUGGAGAUGGCGGCCGAGAACGGCGGCUGCGGCUGCACCCAGUGCAAGUGCGGCACCAGCUGCGGCUGCUCCUGCUGCAGCUGCUAGAUCAUUGAUCAUGCAUGCGCCGCGUGCAUCAUAUCUAUGAUCUACGUAUCCAUCUACUACCAUGUAAUGCCACCUGAUCGAGGGUCUUUGUAUGUAUGUAGUAUGUACGCACCUGCCUGCAUGAGCAGAGCGGGUGCCAUUCCAUGCAUGUAAACCCCUAAAUAAAAUCUCCCGUGGUUUUGCUUACAUCGUGUUGUUAGAUCCUCCUCCUAUUAGUGUUGCUUUCGGGUUCUUCUUAUGCACUAGCAGGAUCAGAGGCCGGUCUUUUGUUCUUGGUCUUCUCCUCAAACUGUCGUUUUCCUCUUCUCUAUGGUUCCAUGUGCGGCAGUAUUUUCUUCUUCUGUUGCCGAGUGUUGUAUCAGACUGUACCUUGUUUUGUGGUUUAUUCCUAUCCAUCUCGAAAUAUAGUGCAGGAAUUUAUUUGCAAAAGGUGGAUCUCAACAAGACACGACGGUAUGUGUAUCUUGCAGGAUUUAUUGAUCGGUCUAUCUUAUGCAUCUUAUUAAAAAAAUACAUUAAGGUCUCAUGGUCAAGCCAAAUUAUCAUUGUUUUUCCUUGCAUGCAAAAUGCAGCAAUAAAUCUUCGUCCUUGGCUUGUUUCUCAUUUCACUGCCUACGUUGCAGGUAUCCGACCCUGUUGGAAUCUCCUUUUCUGUCAUUGUGUUCACUUUCUGUGAUGUGAUGUGUGCGCAAAUAUUCCCACAACAACAACAUAAUAAUAAAGCCAUAUACGCAAGCAACCGAAUAAUGGCAAUGAUAUAUUACUGCUCAAGGCGCAUCUCCAAAUCAACCUGUCAUGUCCAUGGCUGCGUCUAAGCACUCGGGGCAGAAAUACUCACUCUCCGCCACUGAUUCAUAUCACCGAAUCCACACGGCCAAAUUACGUCCUCCAUGUUUUAAGCGAUGCCACUAUAUCUCGUGGGAAAAUUGUUUCCACAGUUCGAUAUCCCUCCCUUUGAUGAAAAAAUUCACGCUUGGCUUCUGCAUCACAGAGUGCAGAUAACGAAUAUUGUUUUCUAUGUUCUGAACUGGAACACUAUAUCUUGUGUAAAAAAUUGUGUCAACAAUAUCGAUAUUCCCUCCUAUAAAAUAAAAUCAUCAAUAGCUCACUUCUCUAUAUAACUGGAUGCAAAGUAAUGGGCGGUGUGGAGCACCCAAGACAGCACGCAAAAUAUCGGUGUUAUUUUAACUCCACUACGUAGACAAGUCACUAUAUUUACACAAUUAUGUAAGAAAAAGAGCUCUUUUAUGGUACCCUGUAUUGAAUAUUGACCGUCCAUCUGCAAAGAUCCAAUGGUGGGUACUUAUCUGUACUGGUGAAACUGGAUUAGCAGCAUCGCUAGUACCGCACGUCUCACGUCCACCGGUAUACUGCUCGGAGGGCAUUAUCGGUGACUCUGCAUCACCGGCAGCCGCCCGCCGGGGCUCGCCUCCUCUUCGCCCCCAUGCCCGCUGGGGCGCCUCCUCCCUGCCUUUAAUCCGCUGUGCUAUGCAUGCUUCUAUGGUUUUGGACUUCUGGCAUGGCACCGUGCGCCCCAUCCCCCUUCCACGCUACGGCCGCGAUGUUCUUUGCCGCCCCGCAUGGCUGAGCAGUGAGCACCUUAGCAUCGCGUUUAUUGUGUUGCCUCGUUCAUGACGACAGUGCAUGCCAAACCACCCUGCGUUGACGAUGAGGCCAGGAUGUGUACAACGUCGUGGUCUUCACGGAGAGCUGCGGCUACGAGAGUGCCGGAGCCUGGCGGAACCUCGCCUAUUUUGUGCUAACCAUGCCCUCGCUACGCUCAUGGCCGUCCUCCUUUAUUUUACUACCGCUUGCCUUCAUGAUCGAGCUCUUCAUGGCCUGGAUCACGCUUUACUUUAGCCUCAGCUUGCCGGACGUGGAGCAGCUACUCAUCUGCCUUUGCUGUGAGGUCGACGACCACGUCAUUGUUCAAAAGCUCACCCAGGCAGGGCUCAACAUACCUGUUUCCUCGUCGUCACCCCGCUGUCACAGACUCACAGGAGUGCACGAUGCAUUCCGAAAUAUUGAUUCGCCAGAGCAAUUCCCUUCACGAACACAAGAAGAGCUUUCACCGUCACAUAUACUGCUCCCUCCCCAGUAGCAGUAUAGGGUACCAUAAAAACCCUCAAGAAAAAUAAAUAACUCAGAGAACUGUCUGGCCAUAGAUGGAGCUUUCUACAGAUGGGGACAAGAAUUUGGCACCACCCACUCAAUUUCCCUCUCACCUUUUUGCAUUGCUUUCAUAUGUAAAAAAACAAAAACAAAAUAGUGAGUUGACUUGCGAUCUGCCUUAAAAUGACAAGAUGACGGUUGGGGGUUAAAAAAACAUUCAAAUGCAUUUUAUAUAUUCAUAUGUUUACUUAUUUUGUAUUUGUUUGUGCAUGUCAUAAAAAUCAUCAAUUUCCACAAGCAUACAUAAUACUCAAUGAUCUACAUUGACAAUAGGCUUUGAGAUUUUUCAACGCAUGACAAGAAAAAUCAAAUGAGGUCAGCUGGAAAUUAAAGAUCAGUUUUGACUUCCAAAAAAUUAUGAUCUCUUUUGUCCAAACUUAAAAGGAAUCAUUACAGAAAAUUUGGAGAUUCCAAUUGUUAGAAUAUUUUCCUACAGGACUAGUAGGGCUGGGAACCAUAAUGAUAUUUUCUAUGGCCUAAUUGACAUGUUUAUGUUGAGCCAAAUCUUUUGGAAAUAGUUUCGUUGAUUCAGUGACAACUAUGUGCUUGCACCUAACGCUUGAGAAAAUUCUUGUAUUUUUUCCCUCUUGCAAUAAAUCAACAUCCAUAUUUUACGCAUUUACUCCAUCUUCAAUUCCCACAGAAUUCAACACAGCAUGACCUGAAAUCUGUGUGUUAAGUUUUCCGGUUCCUGUCUUUUUAAAAUGCUGCAAAAGUAUGUGGCAUGUAAUCUUUAAAAAUAGUGGGAGUGUGAUAGUUAUUGAAAUGCAUGUAGGAUGGAAACUAAAAUUUCAGUAAAAUUCAGCUUAUAACACUAAAAUUGAAAAGGUUGCCAAGCCUAUGGCAACCAAGAGCCGCCAAGAUUUCUUAAAUAACAAAUAUUUUCGGCGACCUCCCCCAAAGAAGACAUAGCUUUUUCCUUGUCUUGACAUUCAAAAGCACUGAGUGAGGGGUAUCGGCUGAAUAUAUUCACUAAGGGCAUGCACAAAAGAGAGUUGACUAUUAUUAUUUUGCAAUGCUUUCAGAAUUUAGUUUGAUAUUGGUUUAAUUCAUAGUUCAUAAUUUACCGAGAAAUACCACUACGAGGUCAAGCACCCCUAAACUUGACCGUUAUGGCUGCAUGCAUCAAUGUAUGCCGAGGGCCGCGCGCGGGGGGUCUUGUUUGGAAAAUAAUAAUGAUCUUAUAGUGCAAUGAUUGGUCAUUGCCUAAGGUAUUUCCCUCUGUUCCAAGAUACAAGGUGUAUUUUUUAUUAAAAAAAACAAAAUUCCCUAUGUUUGACCAAAUUUAAAAUAAAACGUCUCUGUGUUUGGAAACCAUUUAUAUUUUUAUAAGCUCGAUCAAACAUAGAAGAUUUGACUUCAGAAAAAAAAAUAGUACAACUUAUAUUAUGAAACGGGAGUUAGUAGGUACACCAAUAAUUCGAUAUACGCACAAAAUGCUGGCUGUAGUUCCUUUCAUGGCUCCUUUGAUGUAAGAAAGAUGCUAGUAGAGACUAGAGACAAAGGGAAUCAAAUUAUGGGAGGAGGCGGCCCUAUCUAUAUUCCUCUUCCCCAAGCGGUUGCUCCCGUCCAUCCUUUGCCAAAAGUGGAGCAUCUCCCAUUUCCUUCUUCAUCUUCUCCUCCUCCUCCUUCCUUCGUAUUCACUCACCUAUAAAUAGCCCUCGCUGCCUGCCAUUGUUACUCAAGCCAGCAAGCAAGAAGCACAAAAGAAGCCAACACCAAUCAAGGCCUCCAUCCAAUCCCAAGCAACCUCGAAGAUGUCUUGCUGCGGAGGAAGCUGCGGCUGCGGCAGCGCCUGCAAGUGCGGCAACGGCUGCGGCGGCUGCAACAUGUACCCCGAGGUCGAGGCCGCCGGCGCCACCCUCCUCGUCGCCGCCACCGCCACCCACAAGGCGUACGUCCCUUCUCCUUCCUCAUAUAUCAUGCACUCGAUCGUAACAAUAUGACUGUAUGUUGAUCUUGGUAUGGGUGGGGUACGUGCAGGAGCUCCGGCGGCAUGGAGAUGGCGGCCGAGAACGGCGGCUGCGGCUGCACCCAGUGCAAGUGCGGCACCAGCUGCGGCUGCUCCUGCUGCAGCUGCUAGAUCAUCGGUCAUGCAUGCACCGCGUGCCUCAUAUCUAUGAUCUAUCUAUAUAUCCAUCUACCACCAUGUAACGCUACCUGAUCACGGUCUUUGUAUGUAUGUACGCACCUGCCUGCAUGAGCAGAGCAGGUGCCAUGCCAUGCAUGUAAACCCCUAAAUAAAAUCUCCCGUGGUUUAACCCCCUAUACAUGUGUUUGUGUUAUAGUCUUAUAGACCAACUUCUGGCCCAUGUUUACUAUGAACUUGCGACUUGCGAGGUGCCUGGGUUGUUAAUAGACCAGCUGGAUGCUCUCUUGAAGCAACGUAUGCACCGCUUGGAGUCGGUGUAUCUUUAUACACAUGUAUUUAUUUUACAGGUGUAUAUCAUCGGCCACACCUGGGAAAAAACGAUGGAUGGAGAAGUGUAAAUUUACAGGGGUAUUGCUCUGUGAAACGAGAAUCGAAUCAGGGCCUUAAGGGUAGGGAUGGCAAUGGGUAGGGUAUGGGCGCGUACGACUUUUUUCUGCCCAAACCCAUACCCAAAUCUUUUUUCUAUACCCAUCUAUUUCAAUAUCCAUGGACACAAAUUGGUACCCAUGCCCAUACCUAUCGGGUAUAUUAUACCCAAUGGAUAUCCAAUGGGUAUAGUAUCUAACAUUGGCAUGAUAAAGGUAAGCCAAGAAAAGGGCCUAAAACUAAAUUUAGGUACUCGGCCAUCACAAUCCGGUUUGCACUUACAUCAAAAUUUUACAAUGUGGAUUGACACACAAAUGUCUUAAUCUUCAUUACAAACUAACUUAAAAAAACAAGUUUCAAACUUGCAAUGCCAAUCACUGUAGGUAUUAUAGGGUUUAAUUUAUUUAUUAAUUUUUCUGGGUAUCCAUUAGGAUACCCAUGGGUAUAAUUUCAUACCCAUACCCUACCCAUGCAUUUUGCGGGUAUGGACACCCAUUACCCAUGGGUAUGAAGUAGUAAAAAGUCUUAUCCAUGCCCACUGUUUUCGGGUAGGGUACCCGCGGGUACCCAUACCCAUGGGCAAAACUGCCAUCCCUACUUAAGGGCGUUUGAUACAUGCGAAUAUUACUGGCCAAAGUUGAGUAUGAGAUACAUACAAUACAAACUUGACACUUUUGAAAGUCGUGCUAUCAAUCAUGAGACGCAUAGUUUAGCCAAAUUCUCGCUUAAUCUUUGUCAAAGGGUGUCACAUCUGGUUUGGCCAACCCCAUGAUCCGAUAUGUAUCCUACUCUCUGUGGUUUUCGAUGAAUAAAAUUUGGUUAAACCCUAAAAAAACUUAUUUGACGCGCCUUAGUUUUUUUCGAGAAUUUUUUUUAAAUCCGUUCAUCAAUCAUGGCAGUACAAAAAUCACAACCAGGUCCAUGAACCACCUAGCGACGACUACACUCACUGGAGCGAGCUAAACGUGCGCCGCCAUUAUCGCCCCUCCCUUACCGGAGUCGGACAAACCUUAUUGUAGUAGACAGUUGGAAAGUUAUCGUGCUAAGACCCUCAAGGACCACCGCACUGCAUAGCAACCAUCGUCGAUGAAAAGAGUUGUAGAUUGGAAAGAUCAAAGCUAUAACCACACAAGCGAAGACGAACAAAAAUGGAUCCAAUAGAUCCACCAAAGUCCAGCACGACAGAAUCCUGUGAGAUCCGGCGGGGACACACCUCCACAUGUCCUCCUCCGAUGUUAUUCGCACCACCGGGACGAGGAUCGGAUGUGGGAGACAUUAUUCCUACCCAGGGACAUCACUACCGUCACACAGCCCCAACCAAGACGUUAAACCUAACAAAAACGAGAACGGGUCCCUCCCGCUGCCGGGGGGCCAAGAUCCUCCGCACUCCGGGGAAUCGGCGCCGGCGGCAACGGGAUGAGAAAGGAAACUUUUCUUGAGAAGGAGGAAAGACAGACACAUACUGUUGUGUCUAAAUUACCGUGUCUUAGUUUGAUGUACUAUUUGCACCAGCUACUUCAUAACUAGAUUGCCAUGGUUGACGAUGGGUGUGUUCCCCUCUACUAAUAGUGCGGCAGUGCCCUAGCGGCGACAACUAUAUCAUGAACAAUUAAAACUUCACGAAAUUGGUGGCCUGGUGACUUAUGCCUGUGCCUAUAUCGCACGCUCUUUUGUGAUGACAAAGAAACAGAUUAUCAUUUUCGGAGGUUAAAUGGAAACAGAUGGAGUGAACCACAUGUAUGUUGUACCAGCAAAACAAUAUUUAAAUCGAUUCGUUGAUGAUUUCCUUGAUAUAAAAUUUGAGGUGUGCUCUACAACACCCCACCCUACCCCCGGAGCUCCUAUUUGGCACGCUAAGCGCUAGCGGUCGAGCCCGUGCGCGUCCCCUUCCCUUGCACACCCAUUUGGGUCGGCCCAUGCGCGGGGCGGGACACGCCGUUUUUAUUUUUUAUUUUUCUUUUAUUUAUUUUUUAAAUAAUUCAGGAUUUCAAAAAGUUUCAAAUUUAAAAAAAAUGUCAACUUUGAAAAAACAAAGAAAUCAUAAAAUGUUCAUGGAUUCAAAAAAUAUCUUGAAUUUGAAAGACAUGUCCGGACAUUCCCAAAAUGUUCAUAAAUUUGAACAAAAUGUUCACAAAUUAAAAAACAUGUUCAGAAAACUAAAUAAAUGAUUCUCAAUUACGAAAAUAUUGAAAAAUCAAAAAAUGUUCGUUGAUUCAAAAAAUGUUAAUUAAUUUCGAAAAAUAUUUGUCAAACAAAUAGUAUUCAUGAAUGUCAAAAAUUGUUCCCAGAUUUCAAAAACUAUUUCUUGUCAAAAAUUAUUCAGCAAUUCAAAUGUCCAUGAGUUUUAAAACAAUGUUUACAAUUUUAAAAAAUUCUUAGAUAUAAAAAAAUGUUUGUGAAUUCAAAAAAUAUUCAAGAUUAAAUUAAAUUCAUGAAUUUUUAAACAUGUUCAUGAAUUUGAAAAAUAAUCACAACAAAACAAUGUUCAUGCAAUUGGAAAAUGCUCACAAUUUAAAUAAUGUUAAAAAUCAUUAAAAAGUUCAUAAAUUUGAAAAUAAGUUCAAAAAAUGAAAGACUGAAAAAAGAAAAGAAAAACUGACAUCAAAAUAGGAAAAUAUAAAUAAGGUAAAAACGAAAACGAAAAAUAGAAAUGAAAUAAUGAAAAUGAAAAAACAAAAAUAACCCGAAAGGAAAAAACUGGUAUGGAAAGGUUCUAGAACGUUCCCAAAACCGAAAAGGAGGUACUUGGGCCGCCCCAAAAUGUGUACCUAGUGGGAGGGGCGUAUGCGCUAGGAUUAGCCCCCUAAAAAGCUUCACAACUUUUGAGCAGAUCAAUGGUCUAGAUUAAAACAUGUCCUUUACUUUAGAAGGGGUAAUAUAAAAAAUUCACAUUAUAAAAACACUUGCAAUAAAAAAGAUAACGGGCGCUCUAGAAACCCAUGGCGGCUAGUGCGACUUGUUUGGAGCUAUUCGUCUCCUUCCCAACCCUUAUCCACUACCCCGGUCGUCCAUGUAUCUGUCAAAAGUGUUAGAUGAAGGAAAUAUGCCCUAUAGGCAAUAAUAAAGUUAUUAUUUAUUUCCUUAUUUCAUGAUAAAUGUUUAUUAUUCAUGCUAGAUUUGUAUUAACCGGAAACAUAAUACAUGUGUGAAUACAUAGACAAACAUAGUGUCACUAGUAUGCCUCUACUUGACUAGCCCGUUAAUCAAAGAUGGUUAAGUUUCCUAACCAUAGACAUGAGUUGUCAUUUGAUUAACGAGAGCACAUCAUUAGGAGAAUGAUAUGAUUGACUUGACCCAUUCCGUUAGCUUAGCACUUGAUCGUUUAGUAUUCUGCUAUUGCUUUCUUCAUGACUUAUACAUGUUCCUAUGACUAUGAGAUUAUGCAACUCCCGUUUACCGGAGGAACACUUUGUGUGCUAUCAAACGUGACAACGUAACUGGGUGAUUAUAAAGGUGCUCUACAGGUGUCUCCGAAGGUACUUGUUGGGUUGGCGUAUUUCGAGAUUAGGAUUUGUCACUCCGAUUGCCGGAGAGGUAUCUCUGGCCCACUCGGUAAUACACAUCACUUAAGCCUUGCAAGCAUUGCAACUAAUGAGUUAGUUGCGGGAUGAUGUGUUAUGGAACGAGUAAAGAGACUUGCCGGUAACGAAAUUGAACUAGGUAUUGAGAUACGGACGAUCGAAUCUCGGGCAAGUAACAUACCGAUGGCAAAGGGAACAACGUAUGUUGUUAUGCGGUUUGACCGAUAAAGAUCUUCGUAGAAUAUGUAGGAGCCAAUAUGAGCAUCCAUGUUCCGCUAUUGGUUACUGACCGGAGACGUGUCUCGGUCAUGUCUACAUAGUUCUCGAACCCGUAGGGUCCGCACGCUUAAAGUUCGAUGACGGUUAUAUUAUGAGUUUAUGGUUUUUGAUGUACCGAAGGUAAUUCGGAGUCCUGGAUGUGAUCACGGACAAGACGAGGAGUCUCGAAAUGUUUGAUACGUAAAGAUCAAUAUAUUGGACGACUAUAUUUGGAUAUCGGAAUGGUUCCGGGUGAGAUCAGGAUAAUACCGGAGCACCGGGAGGUUAUUGGAACCCUCCCCCCCGGAGGUAUAUGGGCCUUAAUGGGCUUUAGUGGAAAGGAGGGAAAAGGAGCAAGGGAGGGGGCGCCCCCCCCCCCCCCAAGCCCAAUCCGAAUAGGGAAGGGGGCCACCCCCCUUUCCUUCCUCCCUCCUUCCUCUUCCUUCCCUCCCCCUCUCCAAAUAGGAAAAGGAGGAGUCCUACUCCCGAUGGGAGUAGGACUCCCCCCUUGGGCGCGCCUCCUCCCCUUGACCAGCCCUCUCCUCCCCUCCUUUAUAUACGGAGGAGAGGGGCACCCCAUAGACAGAACAAUUGAUCUCUUGGAUCUUUUAGCCGUGUGCGGUGCCCCUCUCCACCAUAGUCCACCUCGAUAAUAUCGUAGCGGUGCUUAGGCGAAGCCCUGCGACGGUAGAACAACAUCGUCACCACGCCCUCGUGCUGAUAGAACUCUCCCUCACAGCUCGGCUGGAUAGGAGUUCGAGGGAUGAAACCGAGUUGAACGUGUGCAGAACUCGGAGGUGCCGUGCGUUCGGUACUUGAUCGGUCGGAUCGUGAAGACAUACGACUACAUCAACCGCGUUGUGCUAAUGCUUCCGCUUUCGGUCUACAAGGGUACGCGGACACACUCUCCCCUCUCGUUGCUAUGCAUCACCAUGAUCUUGCAUGUGCGUAGGAAAUUUUUUGAAAUUACUACGUUACCCAACAGUGGUAUCAGAGCCAGGUUUUAUGCGUUGAUGUUAUAUGCACGAGUAGAAAACAAGUGAGUUGUGGGCGAUACAAGUCAUACUGCUUACCAGCAUGUCAUACUUUGGUUCGGCGGUAUUGUUGGAUGAAGCGGCCCGGACCGACAUUACGCGUACGCUUACGCGAGACUGGUUCUACCGACGUGCUUUGCACACAAGUGGCUGGCGGGUGUCAGUUUCUUCAACUUUAGUUGAACCGAGUGUGGCUACGCCCGGUCCUUGAGAAGGUUAAAACAGCACUAACCUGACGAACUAUCGUUGUGGUUUUGAUGCGUAGGUAAGAACGGUUCUUGCUCAGCCCGUAGCAGCCACGUAAAACUUGCAACAACAAAGUAGAGAACGUCUAACUUGUUUUUGCAGGGCAUGUUGUGAUGUGAUAUGGUCAAGACAUGAUGCUAUAUUUUAUUAUAUGAGAUGAUCAUGUUUUGUAAUCGAGUUAUCGGCAACUGGCAAGAGCCAUAUGGUUAUCGCUUUAUUGUAUGCAAUGCAAUCGCCCUGUAAUUGCUCUACUUUAUCACUAGGCGGUAGCGAUAGUCAUAGAAGCAAUAGUUGGCGAGACGACAAUGAUGCUACGAUGGAGAUCAAGGUGUCGCACUGGUGACGAUGGUGAUCAUGACGGUGCUUCGGAGAUUGAGAUCACAAGCACAAGAUGAUGAUGGCCAUAUCAUAUCACUUAUAUUGAUUGCAUGUGAUGUUUAUCUUUUAUGCAUCUUAUUUUGCUUUGAUUGACGGUAGCAUUAUAAGAUGAUCUCUCACUAAAUUUCAAGAUAAAAGUAUUCUCCCUGAGUAUGCACCGUUGCCAAAGUUCGUCGUGCCCAGACACCAUGUGAUGAUCGGGUAUGAUAAGCUCUAUGUCCAUCUACAACGGGUGCAAGCCAGUUUUGCACACGCAGAAUACUCAGGUUAAACUUGACGAGCCUAGCAUAUGCAGAUAUGGCCUUGGAACACCGAGACCGAAAAGUCGAGCUUGAAUCAUAUAGUACAUAUGAUCAACAUAAUGAUGUUCACCAUUGAAAACUACUCCAUUUCACGUGAUGAUCAGUUAUGGUUUAGUUGAUUUGGAUCACAUGAUCACUUAGAUGAUUAGAGAGAUGUCUAUCUAAGUGGGAGUUCUUAAAGUAAUAUGGUUAAUUGGACUUUAAUUUAUCUUGAACUUAGUCCUGGUAGUAUUAGCAUAUCUAUGUUGUAUAUCAAUAGCUCGCGUUUAGCUCCCCUGUUUUAUUUUUGAUAUGUUCCUAGAGAAAACUAAGUUGAAAGAUGUUAAUAGCAAUGAUGCGGAUUGGAUCCGUGAUCUGAGGAUUAUCCUCACUGUUGCACAGAAAUAUUAUGUCCUUGAUGCACCGCUAGGUCACAGACCUAUUGCAGGAGCAGAUGCUGACGUUAUGAACAUUUUGACAAAAGCUCGGUAUGAUGACUACUUGAUAGUUUAGUGCACCAUGCUUUACGACUUAGAACCGGGACUUCAAAAAUGUUUUGAACGCCACGGAGCAUAUAAGAUAUUCCAAGAAUUGAAAUUGGUAUUUCAUACUCAUGCCAGUGUCGAGAGGUAUGAGACCUCUGACAUUACUUUGCCUACAAGAUGGAGGAGAAUAGCUCAACCAGUAAGCAUGUGCUCAGAUUGUCUGAGUACUACAAUCACUUGAAUCAAGUGGGAGUUAAUCUUCUAGAUAAUAUAGUGAUUGACAGAGUUCUCUAGUCACUAUCACCAAGUUGUUAGAACUUCAUGAUGAACUAUAAUAUGCAAGGGAUAACGGAAACGAUUCCCAAGCUCUUCAUGAUGCUGAAAUCGACGAAGGUAAAAAUCAAGAAAAGCAUCAAGUGUUGAUGGUUAACAAGACCACUAUUUUCAAGAAAAGGGCAAAUGGAAUAAGGGGAAUUUCAAGAAGAACGGCAAGCAAGUUGCUGCUCAAGUGAAGAAGCCCAAAUCUAGACCUAAGCCUGAGACUAAGUGCUUUUACUGCAAAGGGACUAGUCACUGGAAGUGGAACUGCCCCAAGUAUUUGGCAGAUAAGAAGGAUGGCAAAGUGAACAAAGGUAUAUUGGAUAUACAUGUUAUUGAUGUGUACUUUACUAGUGUUUAUAGCAACCCCUCAGUAUUUGAUACUAGUUCAGUUGCUAAGAGUAGUAACUUGAAAUGGUAGUUGGACAAUGAACAGAGACUAGUUAAGGGUGGAGCAACGAUGUGUGUUGGAAGUAGUUCCAAGAAUGAUAUGAUCGUCAUCGCACACUCCCUAUACUUUCAGGAUUAGUGUUGAACCUAAAUAAGUGUUAUUUGGUGUUUUCGUUGAGCAUGAAUAUGAUUUGAUCAUGUUUAUUGCAAUACGGUUAUUCAUUUAAGUUAGAGAAUAAUUGUUAUUCUGUUUACAUGAAUAAAACCUUCUAUGGUUAUACACCCAAUGAAAAUGGUUUGUUGAAUCUUGAUUGUAGUGAUACACAUAUUCAUAAUAUUGAAGCCAAAAGAUGCAAAGUUAAUAAUGAUAGUGCAACUUAUUUGUGGCACUGUCGUUUAGGUCAUAUUGGUGUAAAGCGCAUGAAGAAAAUCCAUGCUGAUGGGCUUUUGGAAUCACUUGAAUAUAAAUCAGUUGAUGCUUGCGAACCAUGCCUCAAGGGUAAAGAGGACUAAGACUCCGUUCUCCAGAACAAUGGAGCGAGGAACUGACUUAUUGGAUAUAAUACAUACUGAUGUAUGAGGUCCGAUGAGUGUUGAGGCUCGCGGCGGGUAUCGUUAUUUUCUGACCUUCACAGAUAAUUUGAGCAGAUAUGGGUAUAUCUACUUGAAGAAACAUAAGUCCGAAACAUUUGAAAAGUUUAAAGAAUUUCAGAGUGAAGUGGAAAAUCAUCGUAACAAGAAAAUAAAGUUUCUACGAUCUGAUCGUAGAGGCAAAUAUUUGAGUUACGAGUUUGGUCUUCAAUUAAAACAAUAUGGAAUAGUUUCACAAACUCAUGCCACCUGGAACACCAUAGCGUAAUGGUGUGUCCGAAAGUCAUAACUGUGCUUUAUUUGAUAUAGUGCAAUCUAUGAUGUCUCAUACCGAUUUACCACUAUCAUUUUGGGGUUAUGCAUUAGAGAUAGCUGCAUUCACAUUAAAAAGGGCACCAUCUAAAUCUGUUGAGAUAACACCGUAUGAACUGUGGUUUAGCAAGAAACCUAAGGUGUCGUUUCUUAAAGUUUGGGGUUGCGAUGCUUAUGUGAAAAAGGUUUAUCUUGAUAAGCUCAAACCCAAAUCGAAGAAGUGCGUCUUCAUAGGAUACCCAAAAGUAACUGUUGGGUACACCUUCUAUCACAGAUCCGAAGGCAAGAUAUUUGCUGCUGAGAAUAGAUCCUUUCUAGAGAAGGAGUUUCUCUCGAAAGAAGUGAGUGGGAGGAAAGUAGAACUUGAUGAGGUAACUGUACCUGCUCCCUUAUUGGAAAGUAGUUCAUCACAGAAAUCUGUUUCUGUGACUCCUACACCAAUUAGUGAGGAAACUAAUGAUGAUGAUCAUGUAACUUCAGAUCAAGUUAUUACCAAACCUCUUAGGUCAACCAGAGUGAGAUCCGCACCAGAGUGGUACGGUAAUCCUGUUCUGGAGGUCACGUUAAUUGACCAUGACGAACCUACGAACUAUGAGGAAGCGAUGAUGAGCCCAGAUUCCGCGAAAUGGCUUGAGGCAUGAAAUCUAAUAUGGGAUCCAUGUAUGAGAACAAAGUGUGGACUUUGGUUAACUUGCCCGAUGAUCGGCAAGCCAUAGAAAAUAAAUGGAUCUUCAAGAGGAAGACGGACAGUGAUAGUAGUGUUGCUAUCUACAAAGCUCGAAUUGUCGCAAAAUGUUUUCGACAAGUUCAAGGUGUUGACUACGAUGAGAUUUUCUCACUCGUAUCGAUGCUUAAGUCCGUCCGAAUCAUGUUAGCAAUUGCCGCAUUUUAUGAUUAUGAAAUUUGGCAAAUGGAUGUAAAGACUGCAUUCCUGAAUGGAUUUCUGGAAGAAGAGUUGUAUAUGAUGCAACCUGAAGGUUUUGUCGAUCCUAAAGGUGCUAACAAAGUGAGCAACCUCCAGCGAUCCAUCAAUGGACUGGUGCAAGCUUCUCGAAGUUGGAAUAAACGUUUUGAUAGUGUGAUCAAAGCAUAUGGUUUUAUACAGACUUGCGGUGAAGCCUGUAUUUACAAGAAAGUGAGUGGGAGCACUACAACAUUUCUAAUAAGAAGUGUGAAUGACAUAUUGUUGAUCGGAAAUAAUGUAGAAUUUUCUGGAAAGCAUAAAGAAGUAUUUGAAAUGAGUUUCUCAAAUAAAGACCUCGAUGAAGCUACUUACAUAUUGAGCAUCAAGAUCUAUAGAGAUAGAUCAAGACGCUUGAUAAGUUUUUUCAAUGAGUGCAUACCUUGACAAGAUUUUGAAGUAGUUCAAAAUGGAACAGUCAAAGAAAGAGAUCUUACCUGUGUUACAAGGUGUGAAAUUGAGUAAGACUCAAAGCCCGACCACGGCAGAAGAUAGAAAGAGAAUGAAAGUCAUUCCCUAUGCCUCAACCAUAGUUUCUAUAAAGUAUGCCAUGCUGUGUACCAGAUCUAUUGUAUACCCUACACUGAGUUUAGCAAUGGAAUACAAUAGUGAUCUAGGAGUAGAUCACUGGAUAGCGGUCAAAAUUAUCCUUAGUGGAAUAAGGAAAUAUUUCUCGACUAUGGAGGUGAUAAAAGAGUUCGUCGUAAAGAGUUACGUCGAUGCAAGCUUUUUACAUCGAUCUAGAUGACUCUAAGUCUCGAUCUGGAUACAUAUUAAAAGUGGGAGCAAUUAGCUAGAGUAGCUCCAUGCAAAGCAUUGUUGACACAGAAAUUUUCAAAAUACAUAUGGAUCUGAAUGUGGCAGACCCGUAGACUAAACUUCUCUCACAAGUAAAACAUGAUCACACCUUAGUACUCUUUGGGUGUUAAUCGCAUAGCGAUGUGAACUAGAUUAUUGACUCUAGUAAACCCUUUGGGUGUUGAUCACAUGACGAUGUGAACUAUGGGUGUUAAUCACAUGGUGAUGUGAACUAUUGGUGUUAAAUCACAUGGCGAUGUGAACUAGAUUAUUGACUCUAGUGCAAGUGGGAGACUGAAGGAAAUAUGCCCUAGAGCCAAUAAUAAAGUUAUUAUUUAUUUCCUUAUUUCAUGAUAAAUGUUUAUUAUUCAUGCUAGAUUUGUAUUAACCGGAAACAUAAUACAUGUGUGAAUACAUAGACAAACAUAGUGUCACUAGUAUGCCUCUACUUGACUAGCUCGCUAAUCAAAGAUGGUUAAGUUUCCUAACCAUAGACAUGAGUUGUCAUUUGAUUAACGGGAUCACAUCAUUAGGAGAAUGAUAUGAUUGACUUGACCCAUUCCGUUAGCUUAGCACUUGAUCGUUUAGUAUUCUGCUAUUGCUUUCUUCAUGACUUAUACAUGUUCCUAUGACUAUGAGAUUAUGCAACUCCCGUUUACCAGAGGAACACUUUGUGUGCUACCAAACGUCACAACGUAACAGGGUGAUUAUAAAGGUGCUCUACAGGUGUCUCCGAAGUUACUUGUUGGGUUGGCGUAUUUCGAGAUUAGGAUUUGUCACUCCGAUUGUCGGAGAGGUAUCUCUGGCCCCUCGGUAAUACACAUCACUUAAGCCUUGCAAGCAUUGCAACUAAUGAGUUAGUUGCGGGAUAAUGUGUUAUGGAACGAGUAAAGAGACUUGCCAGUAACGAGAUUGAACUAGGUAUUGAGAUACCGACGAUCGAAUCUCGGGCAAGUAACAUACCGAUGGCAAAGGGAACAACGUAUGUUGUUAUGCGGUUUGACCGAUAAAGAUCUUCGUAGAAUAUGUAGGAGCUAAUAUGAGCAUCCAUGUUCCGCUAUUGGUUAUUGAACGGAGACGUGUCUCAGUCAUGUCUACAUAGUUCUCGAACCCGUAGGGUCCGCACGCUUAAAGUUCGAUGACGGCUAUAUUUUGAGUUUAUGGUUUUUGAUGAACCGAAGGUAAUUCAGAGUCCUGGAUGUGAUCACGGACAAGACGAGGAGUCUCGAAAUGUUCGAGACGUAAAGAUCGAUAUAUUGGACGACUAUAUUUGGAUACCAGAAUGGUUCCGGGUGAGAUCGGGAUAAUACCGGAGCACCGGGAGGUUAUCGGACCCCCCCGGAGGUAUAUGGGCCUUAAUGGGCUUUAGUGGAAAGGAGGUAAAAGGAGAAAGGGAGGGGGCGCCCCCCCCCCCCCAAGCCCAACCCGAACUGGGAAGCCCCCCCCCUUUCCUUCCUCCCUCCUUCCUCUUCCUUCCCUCUCCCUCUCCAAAUAGGAAAAGGAGGAGUCCUACUCCCGGUGGGAGUAGGACUCCCCCCUUGGGCGCACCUCCUCCCCUUGGCCGGCCCUCUCCUCCCCUCCUUUAUAUACGGAGGAGAGGGGCACCCCAUAGACACAACAAUUUAUCUCUUGGAUCUUUUUGCUGUGUGCGGUGCCCCUCUCCACCAUAGUCCACCUCGAUAAUAUUGUAGCGGUACUUAGGCGAAGCCCUGUGACGGUAGAACAUCAACAUCGUCACCACGCCGUUGUGCUGAAGGAACUCUCCCUCAAAGCUCGGCUGGAUCGGAGUUUGAGGGACGUCAUCGAGUUGAACGUGUGCAGAACUCAGAGGUGCCGUGCGUUCGGUACUUGAUCGGUCGGAUCGUGAAGACAUACGACUACAUCAACCGCAUUGUGCUAAUGCUUUCGCUUGCGGUCUACAAGGGUACACGGACACACUCUCCCCUCUCGUUGUUAUGCAUCACCAUGAUCUUGCGUGUGCGUAGGAUUUCUUUUUAAAUUACUAUGUUACCCAACAUUAGACUCCUCCACUUUAUCUUACUCCUCACAUUCCCAUCAUCCGACAUAGUAUGACGACAUCUCAGCCCCUUGUAUUCACAUCACACGGUGUUCAAAUCGCACGAGCCACGAGGCCUUGUUUUUUAAACAGAAGUGGUGUACCCAAGCACCCCUAAUGAAAUUGGCGUUCCCUUGAUCCAAAGAAAAAAAGAGUAAAAAGAAACCAAACACUCCCCCCCCCACAUACACCUCCAGCGUUCCUAUGCACCGAAUUGUACACAACCAAUAGUUUCUACAUUGCUACACAUGAAUGAUGCUUACAGUUGAAAUAAAAGGCAACUCAUUGUCGCUUACAACUAAAUAGCAAAAGGAUACUAGGAGUAGAGUUUGACAUAGGCUAGAGUAAGUGCAUUAUAUAUCCUUAUUUCUGUUUCGCAAUUUUUUUUCCUUAUUUCUAGUGUGUGAUUGCCACCCAAGAUUGCAAUAGAACACCAGGUCAACUGACAAUCCAAUCCCUGGUGUUCUAUUAUAUGUCGAGUUAAAUACUAAAAAGUGCUACUAGGAGUAGAGUAUGAGAUGAACGAGAGUAAGUGCAUUAUGUAUAUCCUCAAUUAUAGUGUGCGGUCACCACCCAAGAUUGCAACAGAACACCAAUUUGGCUGACGAAACCAAUCUAGUCCAAUCGCUUAUUGAACUAAAAGUCGGUAUAUGUACUUAGGAGUUGCCUAACUAAAGCAUGCGGUUCAACUUGAUAGAUCUAGUAAGAUUCAACUCGAUAAUCGUUUAAUUCCUAAUGGUUUCUAUAAAAAAUAGUUACAAUAACUAACUCAAACGAAAUAUAAGCGAACAAUCAAACAUCGACCGGCUCACAUGGCUUCCAAAUAAAACUAAUUAACAGAUCGAGUAAUACAUUGUUUAUUCCUUGCUCUUAAUAUGAGGUUAUACAUAACAUAUUUUGGUCCAUCCUGAAGUAAGUAUUACGUAACAAGUACUAGCUAGUAUUUCAGUCUCUACUAGCAAAUGUUGCAAUAGCAAACAGCCUUGAUGGCGUUCUUCUUAUCACAGUGGUAGUCCUUGAGGCUGCCCUUCCUAUCACGUGCAAACACGUCACACGUGGCCUUGCAUAGAGGCUUGGUGCAGAAAAACUCCCCGCCGUCGUCAACGACCGCGAAAUUGUGCUGCACAACACCAAGAAAACACAAACCAUUAUAUUAGAAUAUUAGCGACAAACCCCCAUUAGAUUAGAUUAUACGUAUUUGACAAACACAAUUAAACACACCUGCAGAAAUAGGAGUACCCACAAGUGUUAGCACCACGAGGAAGCAAACAAUAGCAGCCCGUGUGUCCAUCCCAAGAGUUCUCUCCUUUUUUGAACUAGAAGGAAAAAUAUGUGUUCUCUUCGUCUAUUUUAAUUUGGCUAUGGGACUAAUGUUUAUGUCUUGAAGUGCUUGGAGUGUUGUCUUAUAUAGACUUAUUGAAAGGGACAAAAAUAAAAGCAUUUAAAUGAUUGUUAAACUUAGCAAAAGAGAUAGAGGUGAGUCACACCCCAAAAAUGGAAGCACUUAAUGCUGGGUGAGAAAUUAAAUGACGAAGGCAAAGAAUAUAUGAGUGAUGUUUAUCCAAUAAUCAAGGCUUUAAUUUUCGACUACAAAAUAAGCAUGACCAUUCAAAAAAUGGAGUCAUCUUUUUGUCGCUGGUGACAUUGAUCAAACAUGGUUUUUUAUAAAAAAAAAUGUAUAGCCACUUUAAUUGCAAACACCAUUGUGCAUUGAAAUUCAGUUGACUUCAACAAAACAAUCAAUAUGAAUUGCAUGCUUGAUAUGUAACCAACUAAAACUAAAAUUGUAUGUUGUCUCGAGUUGACUAAAUCACCAUUUUUGGCUAGACAAUGUUUAAAACUGUGUCAACUGUGUCAAUUUGCACGGCGCCUGGGACAAUGCAAUGUCAAAUCUUGCACUAUUUUAAACCACCACAAGAUAAGCAAGCUGAGUUGGCCCGGGCCUCUUGCCAGACGCUGGCAUCCACCUCGAAAUCUAUAUCAAUAUAUUUUUUGUAUCACAUGAAUCAUAUAGUAUUGGUCUAAAAUAUAUUUUCUCUUGUUGCAAAAUAUGAAAGAAAAAUCGGCACAACAAUAUUAUAUAGACCCAUCGCAACAAUAGCAUGCUUCACAGUCGGUGGGUCCCAUGUAAAGACAUUUGGAAAUACCUCAAAAAUGCAUAUGUGUACUAUUUAUUAUUGUCCAAGAAUUUCACAUGCUCACUCACAACAAACUGUUGAAGAAUUCCGUGCAACUUAGAAACUAACGUAUGCAACAACGCGAGCACAACAUUUGUGUUAGGACUAACAAAAUUACAUUACAUUGUAGCAUGUCACACAUGUGUAUGUAGUAUGACGCAAAUGAGUUCACAGCAUACCAAAACAACGAAUGGUAACUACAAAAAAUUCCCAUAAAUCUAACAUUUUACAACCAAAAAAUUUGGUGGGCACUGACCUCACCUCAUCAAACUUGCUCUAAUAUUCUAGUUAGUGUAGAGUUUUGGAUUAAGCUAAAGUUGCUCUAGUAUUAUGCCACAACAAAAAGGAAAGAAAUGGGGGAAAACAAAGAAGAGCGGAGCAGGGUGGCUUACUCGGAUCUAAGUCGGCCAAUAUCAAUCGCAUUGCCCUCCUAAAUCCUGAUUACUCAAGCCAGCCCAAAAUUGAGGGGCUACUAAAAUAGAAGUUGAGCCUAUGGUGCAAGAACAGAAAAGCCAUUGGAUUGGAUAUGGAUAGCACAUGAUCUGGUGGAGCGAUCUCAGGCCACUUUUUGUAUAUUUUAUGAAAAAACCCUAUUAACAGUUAGGUACAAAACAAAACAUUCGCAGUGACCACCUUAAGUAUCUCAUCUCCCAAUCCAAUAGUGGAGUUAACGACCAUUUACAGAUUUCAGGUUUUUUCCAGCGACCAUUUAUAGAAUUUGCACAACCUCAUAUCCUAUCAGUUUUAUAAAAUAUAUUUUCACAUACCGAGCACAAAUAUAUGGUUGUAAGAAUGAAGAACUCAUACUCAUGCUUGUUUUAAUUCUAGUAUUUACACCCCUAAGGUUGUUAAGGUCCGGUUACAAAAACUCGAAUUUAAUUCUCUUAUAAGAACUUGUUAGAGUCCUGUCAUAGUGCACAUCCUCUCGUGGAUUCGAUAACUCAAGGUUGCUCCUUCGGGAAAAGGGAGGGAAACCUUUGUUGUCCAAACCGGAUCUCAAAGAGCACCACCCAUCUCUCACCCUACUCGAUGAUACAACAUCGACGACCAGGUACGUGUGUAACCAACCGUCUGCUCCCUCGCUCUGUCACUGUGGUGCUAUUCAUUACAUCAAGUCGGGACCCAUUUCCUUCCUUUUGAGGUUAACAAUUAAGGUUUCUAGUCUAUAUGAGGGCCUUCGGAUUCAACUUAUAAGAAUGUUAGUUCAAAUUUAAUGAUGAUUAUUUCAAGUGGAUGGUUAUGUGAACUAGGUUGGUAGAGUGGUGGCCGACCACUGUUGCGGCGGACUUCAGGGAUGUUUGAUCUAUCCACCUGGCUUGAUCAAGCAGCGUCGACAUUUGUGCAUCAUUAUUUUGUUGAAUAUGUUCGUUCGAUUUGCUUGUUGCAGGGGUGAUAGCCUCUGGUCCGACGUUUGGUUACACGAGACAAUAAGCUCCCCUUGCAAAAGUGUAUGAUGUGGGAAUUACGUGUUGUACUCCUCAGGUGCAAACGCACGUAUAUAUGAUGUACAGGAGUAGGCCACGACCUCAAUUAUACAAGGCAACUAGGAGGUGGGCCCAAUACACAAAUAUGCACAACAAAGACUGGACCGGAACUCCUCAAAAUGAUGCCGUAGGCAAGUCCUUGGUCAUGGUAUAUGCAAAUUGUUGGGAAGUAGGGACGUGUAAAACACGAAUAUGGCCAAGGGCCACCUAUUCCCGAACAAAAUGAAUAUCCAACUCAAUAUGCUUGGUCCGUCGAUGAUGCACCGGGUUAGCGGAGAGGUAGACUGCCGAGACGUUGUCGCAAUAGACCACCGUGGCACGGUCAACAGGGAAAGAGAGCUCCUGAAGCAGCUGGCGAAGCCACGAACACUCGGCGACGGUGUUGGCCACCGCAGGAUACUCAGCCUCAGCGUUGGAACGAGAGACCGUAGGCUGCCGCGUGGAUGACCACGAGAUAAGUGAGGGUCCAAGGUAGACACAAUAGCCCGAGGUGGAGCGACGAGUUUUAGGGCAGCCCGCCCAGUCUGCAUUGAAGUAGGCGGCGAGGGCAGUGUCGGCGGAGGCAUGAAGCGUGACACCAAGAUCCAUAGUGCCACAGACAUAGCGGAGAAUCCGUUUGACAACGGCCCAGUGCAUCUCGAGGAGCAUGCAUAUGAAGACACACCUGCUGCACGACAUACUGGAUCUCUGGUUGAGUUAAAGUGAGGUACUGAAGAGCACCAACAAUAGACCGAUAAAAAGCAGCAUCCGAAGCAGGAGAACCAUCCGUGGCAGAAAGCUUGGCCUUUGUAUAAACAGGCGUAGCAGCGGGCUUGUAGUUAAGCAUGUUGGCCCGCUCCAGGAGCUCAUGAGCAUACUUCCGCUGAUGAAAGAAGAAGCCAUCCGGACGGCACACCACCUCGACACCGAGGAAGUUGUGCAAAGGACCCAAGUCCUUGAUGGCAAACUCAGCGCGAAGACGAGCCAUGAGCUGACCGAGGAGACCAACCAUACAUGCCGUCAGGAUGACGUCGUCGACAUAGAGCAGAAAGUAGGCCGUGUUAGAGCCCUGAUGAUAGACGAAGAGCGAGGCGUCCGAGCGGGUGGAGCGGAACCCAAGCUGGUGGAGAAACGCUGCGAUGCGCUGGUACCAAGCACGCAGAGCCUUCUUAAGUUCAUACAAGGACCGCGAAAGCAGGCACACGUGGUCGGGAAGCGCCGGGUCAACAAACCCGGUGUGCUGCUGGCAGAAGACCUGCUACUCCAGGUGACCAUGGAGCAAGGCGUUGGAGACGUCCAUCUGGUGCACCGGCCAAGCACGGGAGACUGCAAGGUGGAGAACCGUGUGUAUCGUGUCGGGCUUGACGACCAGAGCGAAGGUGUCGAUGAAGUCGAUGCCAGCACGCUGUCGGAAGCCACGAACGACCCAACGCGGUUUGUAGCGAUCAAAGGUACCAUCGGGACGGAGGUUGUGUUUGAAGACCCACUUCCCGGUAAUCACGUUGGCGUGCUGAGGACAGGAAACAAACAUAGAAGAUUUGACUUUAGAAAAAAAAUAGUACAACUUAUCUAUACCUAAUAUUAAAGGACGGAGAUUUUUAUAGUUCUCCAUACAUCUAACUUUAUUAAUAGUCUUCAUCGGCCCACCGGAGCAAGACAAUAAGUAGGCCUGGAAACACUCGAUUCAAUGGGCCUGAAAAAUAAACGGGCAUGCAUCCUCUCUCGCUCAUCUCUCUCCUCUCGAACCCCUCAUAAAAAAUUUCUCUCCUCUCGAUCCCUUCGCUCUCUACUACGAGCGCUCCUGGGGCAGACAUGUUCUCCCUUCUCUCUACCGCUGCGGAUGGCCCAACUUGACUCCGAGACGAACUCUGCUCGAGCACGCACCCAUAGGGUGUCCCGACAGGUUCUUUGCGGUUCCGCAGGCUGGUCUAGGAACAUAUAGAAACAAAUUGACGCCAUCAAACGAAGCCCCAGCUCAAUUGCCUGGUUGCGGAGUGCGGCGGCAUGUCGAGCCGAACGCCGGCAAGAUCAUACAGGAUGAGGCAGUAGAUGCCAACGAUAGUGUGCGUCACCCAACUCGACGCAGGCGAGGAAGAUGAGCAGGACGGCGUUGGAGCUCAGCAGGGCGCCGACGAGAACGUACGGGAAGAGGCGGUAGACGCCGAUGGCGGUGUAGGUAACCCACCCAGCUCGACGAAGGUGAGGAAGAUGAGUAGGACGGGGGGUAGCCGGGGAUUUGAAGAGGACUCGGAAGGGCUACACGAGCAUGACCAGGUCGUCACUGAAUCGGAUCCGUCACCUCAUGCGGCUGAGCUGUUAGAGGACGAUGCAGAGGCUCUGGUCAAAGGCGACCAUGAUGGAUGUGUCACCGCCGGCCACGCGAUAGAGGAAGAAGGUGAGGCUCAAGAGCCGGCCAGCCGAGUGGACGUGCCGGUGCAGUUGUGACCGCUCGGGAGGUUGAAGGCAAGCGAGGGAGCUCAUGCGGCGACGUCGGCAAGGCUCGGUGGCGAGAUAGCGCAGAAGAGCGGUGCAGCGGAGCGACAACCACGAUGCUAGGGCGUUGCGGAGAGAAAGGAUGAAGAGAGAUAGGGCAAGGGAGUCCUACUGCUGGUGGAGGCACGCAGGAGGAGCUCGAGCAUCAGUUGGCGGGCGAAGCAAGGAGUCGCAGGGCUUUCCAGCGACUAUGAUGGUGCGGGUUGAUCUGGGGAGGCUGGGAGAGCUGCCUCCUAGGGGCGCUGGUUCGGGUUGACGUGUGCGUCAUGUGCACUGCUACAAAAUUGCUGGAUAUGUGUAUCUAUAUGUGUGCGGCUGCGAUUUGAAAGUCGUAGCAAUGCACAGGCUUAUAAUUAAAUAAUUAUAUAUCUUUACUUGUUCAGUAGCAACACAUGCUAGCAAGCAGCAGAGACAGUAUACUAUGUUGGCGAUCAUUUGGCGAGCGAGCAGUUGAAUUGCUGCUGGCAUGCAUUGUGCAGGGGCAUGUUCGCUUGGGUCUUGGGACGAAAUCGACUGAGUCAAUAAAUAAUUUUUUAAAAGGAUAUUAGACCCUCGGCCUCUGCAUCAUUCAUUAUGAUGCACACAAAUAUUUUUAGCAAAGUUAGCCAUGGGUCGAACCAUUAGAUAUCAAAUAGACAUCUACAACUAAGUCGACUUCUGCUGCAACAUCUCUUCAAGAAGGGAUAAACUUUCUCGCCAUCGACCGAAACAAUCCGUAAGAAGAAGAAAAUGAUCACACAUGUGAAACAUAAUUGUCAAUACAAAUACAUGACACAUGGUGGUACGAACACACAUCACGAUGGAAGAAUACCAGCAACUUAAAAGCAAGCCUACAUCAAAUCUAUAUUUCAUUAGUAUUUAGUCCAUAUUUUUAUUUCUAUCAACCUAAACUCCAAUUACGUUAAAAUUUAGGUUUGAACUGCAGAUAUGAGAUUUCGAAUUUAAAGAUUGAACGUAUAUUUAAAGUUCUCAUAGUAUGUGUCUAUUUUUUGGGGUGUCUUUUUACUCGAUAGGAAUCCAAUUCAAUGCUCAAAAUCAAAUAACAAGAUUAUUGCUACAUAUUUUGAUAAAGCUAAAUUUUACUUGAAUUUUGGAUGUAGUUUAGACAAAUAAUUCUCACUAAAUCUUACUAUGGGCCAAUUUUUCUCUACCGUUGCAACACACCGGAUCGAGAGUUUCCAAGAAAACAUUGUCAGUCAGAUGCAUUUACUCCAGAUCAUAACUCAUGUCCUAAGCUUCACGUCGUGAUCCUCAAAUCAUGCAUCUUUUUAUUUUCUCAUCAUCAACCGUUGUGACAUGACACAGUUCCUCGACCUGGCCAACCAUGGUUCAUAGGAACUGGUAUAUUUCUCCCGCUGCAACGCACGGGCAUUCGUGCUAGUAUUUUGAAACGGGAGUUAGUAGGUACACCAAUAAUUCGAUAUACCCACAAAAUGCUGGCUCUAGUUCCUUUCAUGGCUCCUUUGAUGUAAGAAAGAUGCUAGUAGUGACUAGAGACAAAGGGAAUCAAAUUAUGGGAGGAGGCGGCCCUAUCUAUAUUCCUCUUCUCCAAGCGGUAGCUCCCGUCCAUCCUUUGCCAAAAGUGGAGCAUCUCUCAUUUCCUUCUUCAUCUUCUCCUCCUCCUCCUUUCUUGAUGCUCACUCGCCUAUAAAUAGCUCUCGCUGCCUGCCAUUGUUACUCAAGCUAGCAAGCAAGAAGCACAAAAGAAGCCAACACCAAUCAAGGCCUCCAUCCAAUCCCAAGCAACCUCGAAGAUGUCUUGCUGCGGAGGAAGCUGCGGCAGCGCCUGCAAGUGCGGCAACGGCUGCGGCGGCUGCAACAUGUACCCCGAGGUCGAGGCCGCCGGCGCCACCCUCCUCGUCGCCGCCACCGCCACCCACAAGGCGUACGUCCCUUCUCUUUCCUCAUACAUCAUGCGCCUCGCUGUAAUAUGACUAUAUAUGUUGAUCUUGCUAUGGGACUAAGGAUGGAUGGAUGGGUGCAGGAGCUCCGGCGGGAUGGAGAUGGCGGCGGAGAAUGGCGGCUGCGGCUGCACCCAGUGCAAGUGCGGCACCAGCUGCGGCUGCUCCUGCUGCAGCUGCUAGAUCAUUGAUCAUCGAUCAUGCAUGCACCGCGCGCAUGCAUCAUAUCUAUGAUCGAUCCAUCCAUCCAUCUAGUACCAUGUAACGCUACCUGAUCGAGGGUCUUUGUAUGUAUGUAAGCACCUGCCAGCAUGAGCAGAGCAGGUGCACUCCCAUGCAUGUAAACCGACCCCUAAAUAAAAUCUCCCGUGGUUUAACCUAUACAUGUGUUUGUGUUAUAGACCAGCUUCUGGCCCAUGUUUACUAUCAACUUGCGAGGUGC
rnacentral:lncRNA from 1 species